rnacentral:pre_miRNA from 9 species
UCUCGAUAGCGUAAAAGUGAAGUCAAAUUUGUAUGGAGUUGGAACGUUUGCCUAUGUUUGCCGCUAGAGACACUGUCCAGCUACAUACAAAUUUCAGGUAACUUUUACGCUAUCGA